GUGCCAGCAGCCGCGGUAAUACGUAGGUGACAAGCGUUGUCCGGAAUUAUUGGGCGUAAAGGGAGCGCAGGCGGUUGGAAUAGUCUGAUGUGAAAGCCCACGGCUUAACCGUGGAAGGUCAUUGGAAACUGUCCAACUUGAAUGCAGAAGAGGAAAGCGGAAUUCCAUGUGUAGCGGUGAAAUGCGUAGAUAUAUGGAGGAACACCAGUGGCGAAAGCGGCUUUCUGGUCUGUGAUUGACGCUGAGGCUCGAAAGCGUGGGGAGCAAACAGGAUUAGAUACCCUGGUAGUCC
rnacentral:rRNA from 1 species